UCUUGUUGGGGAAUGCUGGGAAAGACUCCUGCUGCUUCCUACUAGACGUGAGGCUUGCACUGCUCCCGCCAUGGAGCUCAGAUCAUGCCCUGGAGAAGCAGGUGACAUCGCGGAAUUUUCCUGUUCCAGAUGCCAGAAGUCUGAAAUGAAGGUGUAAAGCAGGGUGGUUCCUUCUGGAGGCUCUGAGAGAAUCACCCCAGGCCUCUCUCCAGCUUCUGGUGCUGGUAUUCUCAGGCUUGUAGGCGCAUCACCCAUGUCUGCCUCCAUCUUCACAUGGCCUUCUCCUCUGUGUCUGCCUGAAGUCUCCCUUCAUUUCUCUUGUAAGGACAUCAGUCAUUGGAUUUAGAGCCCACCCUAAACCCAGAAUGAUCUCAUCUCAAGAUUACAUCUGCACAGACGCUAUUUCCAGAUAAGGUCACAGUCAAAGGUACCAGGGGUUAGGAUAUGAACAUAUCUUUUUGAAAGACACGAUUUAACCUACAGCAGGUGCUCAGGGCAGUUGGGUGGGGGCCUGUGCUAGGGGCCCAACAGCCAAGGCUUAAAGCCGCACUCCACACCUAGGCCUGUGACACCUCCCACAAGCUUCUUCACCUCUCAAGCCUCAACUUCUACUUCUGCAAACAGGGAACAAUAAAAGUAUCUCCCUGCCCCCACCUUGCAGGGUUUCCAGUUCCAAUGUCUACACACUCACCUGGGAGUUAUCUGAAAUUGUUGUUCACCUGCUUAAACCUUUUGAGUUUCCAGCACCCCCCAGAAGUCCCCACCCUCUAGUCCCUUAGCAAGAUACUGGCCCUGCGUGAGCUUCCCACCUUCCUUGACAGCUGCAUCUCUCAUCAUUAGGACCUGGGCAACACUGCAGAAUAUGGCAGGUCUUCCCUCAUCUCUGUGCUUUGCCUCCAUUCCCUGACUUCUCUCCCAUCCUCCUCCUGUCACCUGGCCUCUCCCCAUCCUACUGGCCUUAAAGCUCAGCUCCUGAAGCCUCCCUGAUGCUCCUCCCUUCAUAGCCCCUCCCAGCCUGGCCACGUGGGCUCGGGCAGCCCAGAGCCUGGGCCUCCUGGUCACACUCUGAGCACACAGCCCAUUUUCUCUCCAGUGCUGGCUUGUGUUUGACACCAUGCCUGACACAUUGGGGGUGCUCAGUAGACCUGUGUGAGAUGGACAGCCUCCCGUACAGAUGGACGGACAGAUGUACAGCCCCGUGGAGAUGCCCUGUGUAAGCCACUGAAGCCUCUGGCCAACAGCAGUGGGAACCUGAGACGUGUCCACAAGCAUGCAUGGGAGCUUGGAAGUGGAUCCUUCAGCCCCAGCCAAGCCUUCAGACGAUGCAGCCUCAGGGACAGUAUGACUGCAGCCUCAUGAGACCCUGAGCCAGAAACACCCCUCCAAGCCACUCCCAGAUGCCUGGCCCUCAGAACCUGGGAGCAGCUGCACUUGGGGACCACAAUAAAGAAGCUUUCUCAGACUGGUUUGAACAAAGUGGUGAAUUCUCUGCAAGGACACAGAGGUGUCUCUCAAAACCCAAGGAUGGGACAGCAGGCCUCAAGAAGAACUGGAACCUCUGUCCCUUCUGUGCUUCUUUUUACUCCUGUGUUCUCUGCUUCUUGGAGCACUUGGCAGUUGGGAAGUGGCCAUUUCAAUUCUCGUGGUCAAGAAACCAGCUCAGAAAUAACCCAACCAACACAGGUGGGGUCAGGUGUCCAUCCUGGCUCCAUUUGUCAUGGCGGGAGAUGGUGAUGAAGAGAAACAUCCAGGACCAUUGGUAGGGCACCCGAAUGAGAUUCCAGGAGAGGCCAGUUCUAAGAGAAGGGUACUAGAAAGAUACCCAUUGAAGUCAAUACCACAUGUGGCACAUCCUCCUUUCAGGUGGCAAGUGUGUAGCCAAAGCAAGGUUCAGGGUCCAUAUUUGAAAGUCAGAAACUGAAUAAACUGUUUUCUCCCACCCCGAGCACUGUGGGGAACUCUGCUCACAAAUCCACCAUCCACCAUCACCAGCCGUGCUCAUCUGACCAUUCAUGCAGGCUCACACUUGACCUGAUGUGGGUUCUGUCUCCUUUGCUUGAGAAUUGAAAGGCCUGGGAGAUGCAAAAGCUUUAGGCUCCAGCCAUCUCCCCAUGUCAGGUAGGCCUUUUGCCUAGUGUAUCCAGUUGGUAAUGCUGCAGAGAUGCAUGAAGCUGGAGUCAGAGGCCACCUGUAGUGCUGCCCUGACUUCAGACCUGAGCCCAGCCCAGCAGCAGAGAGGGGGCUGGGAGCCAGAGGAGGCCUCACAGUAACAGCACAGACAGGUGGGGGCCCACAACAGGCCACAUGUGUUCAAACUCGAGUGUGGGCAGAGGAGCAUGGGAAGCUCAGAGCCCUGAGCUCACCCCACACCCAACACGAGUGGGGUCACCCAAAAUCAGCCUGUCAGCACUGUCCCAGCAGCCAGUCGCAUGCUACAUUAACAAAUUUUGCACAGGCCAGCAAGCAGGAUCGCUCACCAGCCACCCUCCUGAACUGGCCUAUGGGGCCCCAGGAUGAUGCCAUAGCCACAAGUCUGGAGUUCCUCAAAGUACCUGGUCAGCACAACUCAGUUAAACAAUGGGCAAAAGACCUGAACAGACACUUCGCCAGAGAAGAUGUACAGAUGCAAGUAAGCAUUUGAAAAGGUGCCCCACAUCGUAUGUCGUUAGGGAAUGGUCCAAUCCAGAACACUGAUGGCACCAAAGGCUGCUGAGCAUGUGGAGCAGCAGAACUCUCAUUCACUGCUGGUGAGAAAAAUGGCGCAGCCCCAAUAGGGAACCCUAAUGCAGACUCUGGACUUCACUGGAAAUGACGUGUCAGUGUAGCUGCGUCAGUUGUAACAAAUGCACCAGUCUGGUGGGCGUGUUGAUAACCGGGGCUGCGCACGUGGGGAGAGAGGACCUGUGGGAAUGCUCUACUUUCCACUCAUUUUUGCUGUGAACUUAAAACUGCUCUUACAAAAUAACAUUGUUUGUUGUUGUUGUUGUUGUUGUUGUUGUUGUUGUUUUUAAGUAUCUAGUCAGCUCCACACAUGACCCGGGCAGAGUGGGAAGUUGUAGAGUGCCCCAAGGAGAGAAAUGGAACCAGGUCUCAUGUGGGGCCAAGUGUGGGCUCCCUGUCCUCUCAGCUGGUCCCAGGAACUGAAGGGAAAUUUAGACAACUUGGAGAAAGACACUCUAGGGCUCGGGGCAAAGGGUGGUGUUGAUGAGAACCAUAUUUUUUUAUUGCUGGUGUAAGCACUUGUAUUUUUCUGAUUUUCCACUGGUUCGAUAAUAAGGGUAAAAGACAAUAAAGCAUACUUUUUAAGCUUUUGUUUAGAAGUUUUUUUUCCAAUAAAACUUCCCCAAAA
rnacentral:lncRNA from 1 species